CCUCAGAGCAUCCCACAUUCCUCCCCAAGCUCCCAUCCUGAGGCAACAUCUUGCACUGAACACCUGGCUUGAAGGCAGGCAGAUGCUCAGUGAAACUUUCCAGCCAGCAAAGUCUGGAGUGUAACUAGGAAGAUGUCAAGAAAGCAGCACGUCCAUAUGGAGUGUCCAUCAGCAUUUCUCCACGCACAUCACAGACACGAUAAGAUGCAACCAACGUGCUUUUCAGUAAUGAAGAGUGAAUCUUUUAAAGGAGAGUUAGACGUCUGGAACAAGGGAAGCUGCAGAACUCAUACUAAUACUGUGCUUAAGAACCUGUCAAAUAUAAUCUCUGCAGUGAGAAGAUUUAUUGGAAACUCUCUAGAAAUCUAAGUGCAAUGCUUGCUGUUCUCUCAAAAAAGGACCAAGUUGAGAGUGUGGAAAGUCACUCAUCCUUAAGGCUCCACUGAGCACACAAGGACAAUAGAGAGACAUGAGACUUGCUCCCUUCUGUUUUUCCAUAGGGGAGGGUGGCCUUUGCUUUUACUCACAGAUUAUUUACACCAAGUGCAGCUUUUGCUGGUACCCAAAGCUGGCUUCCAGUGGAGUCCAAGCAGCAGGAUUGGCAAGGACUUAAAAAUGUGAGCUUCAGCUUUGUCUUUCUGCCCUGGUAGUCACUAUCAUACACAAUGGGCUGGCAAAUGCAGAUCUGCAGUCUCCCAGCAGUAGAUAUUGCUGUCCCUUUGGCUUCUGAAGCUGCCAAGUCCUUAAUGACUCCAGCCUGGUGGGCACACACAGCAAGUUGUAUAAUACUGUCCUUCUGAUUUUUAGGUAGACAAUACAUUCUAAAUGCUUUCCCAACAUAUAAACAAAACCAUCUCUCCUUGUGUGAUUCUGUAUAUGACCAAAGGCAUGUUACCUGCUAGCUCGGCUCCCAUGAAAGUUGGCAUUGAUACUUGGAACAAAUAUCCACCAUGUAUGAGAGCAACAUUGCCUUUGUGCAUGUGAAGGCAAACCCGUCCAAUACAGCACACGUACUUAUGUUUUACUGAAAUAUUUCCAGAAAGCAUAAGGCAAUCAGUGUAGCUGCUGGAUUUUUAAAUAUAAGGCCUGGAUGUAAGCUUUCUGCUGGAUUUUUGAUGAGAGAAUUGUAGAAUGAGUUUCAGUCUCAGUGAGAAGCAGAAAUCACUUCUUACGUUUCAGUGUGUAACAUGCCAUGGUAAUUUGAAGGCAUUCAAAUGAAACUCAUGACUUUUCUUCUUCCAUUGAAAUAGCUUUGGAAAUUGCAGUCUGUUUGUAGAAUAGGGAGAUUCCCAGCUCCCCAGCUGAGCUUCCCUGCAAGAAACGGAACACCAACACUCAUCCCUCAGGGCUUGGAGAAUUGCUAAGUAGGAGCUAACAGAGGAAUAGGAAUGUGUCUUCCUGCCUUUCCAUCACCUGCUCUUGUAAAAAAUACUCCAUUUUCCGUUCUAAUCCUUCUGAAAAACUGAAUAAAACAAACAAAAAAAGAACAUUAGCAUUAAAAAUAAGUGCUAUAAUUAACAUUAAUGCCUUCAUCAGCUUAAAAGAAUCCUAAACAGCUAGGAUUUCUCUCUGUCUUAACCUCUAGGUAGCCUAGUGAUUUUCAGACUGUAUUCUACACAGUACUCCACUGAUGUCCAUGAGAGGUUAUAAAAGAAAGUCAAGCCUCUCCUCAGUAGGCUUCAAAACACUGAAUGGAGGUCUGAAGGUGAAAAUCACAGUUCUGUCCAUUCUUUCUUCUUCUGUUUUCAUACCAGUCAGCUCCUUCCACUCCCAUCAAAUUCCCUCCAAUGCUUCCUGGGCACUCCCUUCAUCACAAGCAGCUAAGCUCAGGCCCUGGAACAGGCUGCCCAGGGCAAUGGGCACAGCCCUGAGUGCUGGAGUUCAGGGAGUGUUUGGACAUCGUGUUCAGACAUAGGGUUUGGAUUUGAGGUGGCGCUGUGUGGAGCUGGAAAGUGGACUCAGUGAUCCUUGUGUGUCCCUUCCAACUUUUGGGAUAUUCAUAAGACUAGAAGAGAACUAGAAGUAGAUCUUGCUGUUUAACCUGAUUCUGGCUGUUAUUUACCUUCUCACCUCCUAAAAAUGUCAGUAUUUGUAAAAAACUUAAAAGUUUUUAAAGGAGAUGUUCAAAGUCUUUCUA
ensembl:lncRNA